AGCCACUGAUACGUACACGUCGCCACAUGCGCUGUGGCAGGCUAUAUAACCUCACCAUCUCCAUGCCCAAAGCAUCAACAACAUACACACAAGCAAAACAAAAAGCUAAGCUCCGUAGCUAAAUUCAGAUAUUACAAACACAAAAAGGGAGUGCAGAACCAAAAUGGCUGCCUCGACCUUCCUUCUCGUUGCUUUUCUAGCAUUGAUCACUUCUCAGGCCAUUGCCUCUGAUCCUAGCCCGCUCCAAGACUUCUGUGUUGCCGAUAAAGACUCUCCAGGUAUGAGUGCUCUCCUUUUGACUCAAGCAGUGUUCUUAUAAUAUAUACCUGAUUAAAUAAGGAUCAUUUGUUCAAACACACAUCUACAUACAAUAAGCAUUUCGGGGUAUAUAUGCAUGUCCUAUUAACCUGUUCUCCAUCUAACUGUUUGUCUUUGUCUACGCAUGCAUCCAGUGAAGGUGAAUGGAUUUGUUUGCAAGGAUCCUAUGGCUGUGAACGCUGACGACUUCUUCAAGGCUGCAAAACUUGAUCAGCCAAGGGACACCACCAAAAGCAAGGUGGGAUCCAACGUUACUCUGAUCAAUGUCAUGCAGCUGCCUGGACUCAACACGUUGGGGAUCUCGUUGGCUCGCAUUGACUACGCACCAUUAGGUCAGAAUCCUCCACACACACACCCACGUGCCACUGAGAUCCUCACCGUGCUUGAAGGGACACUCUACGUCAGAUUUGUCACCUCCAACCAAGCUGACAGAAGCAACAAGCUAUUUGCCAAGGUUCUCAACAAGGGCGAUGUGUUUGUAUUCCCCCAAGGACUAAUCCACUUCCAGUUCAAUCCAGUACAUGACAAGCCAGCAGUCGCGCUCGCUGCUCUAAGUAGCCAGAACCCUGGAGCUAUUACUAUUGCCAAUGCAGUCUUUGGAUCAAAGCCACCUAUCUCGGAUGAUGUCCUAGCUAAGGCCUUUCAGGUGCAAAAGGGGACAAUUGAUUGGCUUCAAGCUCAGUUCUGGGAGAACAACCACUACUGAAAAAAUCAAUUCUGAGUUCAACAUAUGAGAAUAAAGAAAUGUACUUGUAUUUUACAUACUACUCUAUGUGUUAACCUUUUUCUAGGUUGUGGCUGAUAAUAAAAUAAAUGUUACUCUAUCAUACUAGAUAUGAAACAUUAACUUAGUUUAGUAAUACACGAAUAGUCGGUUAUUACGAAGAAAUCACUCCCCUACAUCUAUAGGAAAGGAUAAGUCCUAAAUUCAACCAGGAGUGACCAAAAAAGCUCAUAUUUAUGACAAGGCAUGAGCUCGAGCUAAAUUUUGGCAGAACAACCCGGAUGUUCUCCAUUUACAUGCCUGAAAAUGCUGCAACAGAGAACAAAGGGGUUCUUCUGAAAUUACGCACGGGCACAUGUCUUUUUAUAAAUAUGAGCUCUAUCGGUCACUCUGAGGCUGUCCAAUAAAGGGACAAUCCUUCCCCAACAUACGUCAUAUGCAUCCCAUGUGAGGUGUGUUGGACCAAAAUGGGUGAUGCGCAGAUUCGGUUCCAUUUGUUAACUCUAUGAUACACACAUUUACGCUACAUCCAUCGAUCGAUAUUAUAUAAUUCAACUAAUAAAACACCAAUACAAUGUUUUAUACUACAUAACAUUGUUUUGGGUGAAAAUAAUGUUAAAUGACCUUAUUUCCAAAGGUUUAAUAAUUACCAUUAGAAAUUACAUAUUUAAGUUAUUUAAGCACACUAAAUGAACUAAAACAAUCUAUAUAAACUACACAAUCACCACUAGGGUCGUCAAAUAUAUACAACACACAUAUUUCAUACAAACAAAUAAUCAAUCAAUGCAUGUAAUUAUAAAGCAAAUGGUCUUACUUCGGGAGGCAGUGCGAUGUUGUGGAAGGUGGGGAGGCACUCUGGAAGGCGUGCGAUGGACGAGGUGACGCUGAGAGAGGUUGGCGGAGCUUCGGGAGGCGUGUGGUGGGUGGUCGUGCCCUGGCGGAUGGCGCUACGGGCGACGGUGGCUUCGAUGGAGCUUCGAGAGGCGUAUGGUGGGUGGCAGCGCCCCGACGGAUGGCGCUACGGGCGGCGACAACUUCAGCUCCAGCGGACGUGGCAUCGACGAACGAGUGCGGGCGUGGCUUCUACAUGGCGAUAAGGGCGACGACGACGAACAACUUUGGCAGGGCACGAAGCCGGGGAUGGGCCGAGAGAGGGCACGGGUCGUAGGCGAUCGCGGGGCGACAACGACAGGUCAAGCGGAUGCAGCAUACGACGUGAGAGAGAGCAGGCGGCCACGCGUGGGGAGAGAAAGUGAAACGACGUGGUCGGGCGUUGUUUCCUUAAAUCGACGUAUGUACAACGACGUGUCUGGCAGCUAUGGGACAUAAGGAUUACUAGUCGGUUGCACGUGCGUUGCGGCGGCUCACAACAAUACCCACGUAAACUAUCCACCAAAAAGAUUUCAAGAUCUUUUAUUGAUUGUCUCCGCUCUCCACAUAAUAUUUUUUAUUUAACUAACUGAUGUUGUUGUUUACUCCAUACAAUAUGUCUUGGUACAACACGGCCAAUGAAGAGAGUGAUUAGAAGAGAUUUCACAACGACCGAUUGAACGAAUAUAGAUUAUAGAAUGACAUAAUUCCACCAUACAGAGACCAAAUAAGAGAAAGUUUGUGAGCUCAAGUUUCUAAAAUAAGUCACAUGAACUCAAACUUAUAAAAAAGAUAGAUCAAAAUAUGGAUUGGUUACUAAAGUCAGUCAUCAAUAAAAAUUGGAUGCGCUCCAUACAAAUUAUGGUACUUCAUAACAAUUACUAACGUUCGAAAUCAACAAAUAACCUUUCAUUUUAUUGCUAGGGUGACAAAUCAUUGCUACUCCAUCCAAUUUAGCAACCUCAAACACCAUGGAGUCCAUUGCGCCAAUGUGGUCUCAGAGACAACAUAAUGCAUGCAAGAGCUAAGAACACAAUGGACAAGCACCCUGUGAUAGUUCCCUCAUGGAUCUCCAAAUCCUAACACAUAUUUUGCAGGAUCCAUGAACCAUCAUAAGAAAAAUACAAACCACGUGCAAACAGUAAAUAAAGUAUUAACACACCCAAAUUAUGUUCAGUCAUUAGCACAACAAAAACUUAACACCCAAAACAACAGCGAAACAACACAAUAUUUUUUGCAAUGACAGAAGGAUGGGUGAUAGGUACAUAGAAGUGGUAGAAGCAUACCGAGUCGACACCGUGGUAAGGGAAAGGCCAUGUAGACAGGCGAUGUCGAGCCAACGAACAGGUACCAGGCAGCAAAUGAGAGACUCACAUCCCUCGCCUCCCCCACUUCUAAGGUUUCGUAGAGCUGGAAGGGAAGGGAAGAGGCAGGCAUACCUAUUCAUUGCCGGAGAAGGACACGACAAAGACCUAGGCAUCUAGAGGCAACAUAGGUAGUAUAUCGCUAGAUACAUAUAGGGAGAGAGCACAUAAGUGGAGAAAAAAGCCUAGGGGAGCGGCUCCAAACCGAGAGGCAUCCGCACUAGGCGCCAGCCCGAGAAGGGCGAGAGAAUGCGAGUGCCUCCCCAGCCCUAGACCCGCCAAAGCAACACAACAACACCACCAACUUCGUAGCAUAUGCCGACUGCUAUCGCGCCAUGGGCCUUGGUUGUCCAAUAUCUCAGACCUGGACUCCUCAUAGCCAAGAUAACCUAAGCGUGGUAGACGCCACCGUGUCCUCCUCGGAGGUACGCACGAAGAAAGGCUAGGAGCAAGACCGACUCGCCCAUACUCGUGUCGACGAGCGUCGGUGGGCUCGUGGUUGCGACCGUGGGCGGGGGCAACAGGUUGGGGAGGAAGAACAGGGUGAAGGUCGGGAAGAUGAACGGGACGUCCGAGGACGGUAAAAACGAUGGUGCGCACAUGCUGUGAAACGUCUUUGUGGACGUGCAAUAUCCAAUGCGCGGGUCGGUGUCGGGGCUGGUGUCGGACGAAUACGGGGAGGAGGCGGCUGCUCUCACGCCCUCUGCCGAGAAUGGGGUGGCACAGAGACGGAGGCAUGAGGGGAGAGAGAAAAGAAGUUGGAUGGCGAACGAGGUCGCGACAACUGAGGCGAAGACCAUCAUUACCGUGUGGAGGUAUAGAUGGCCAAAUGGGUCGUGUCUGGUGGCUUGGCCCGGGGCACGACCCAUUUAAUAUUGCCUGGGCCAGUCCCGCACGAGCGUCGUGCCGUGCUUGGGCCCGUAGUGCUGGCCCGAUCCGACACAAUUAUUUUUUUAUCUUACAAAAAAUCAUAUAUAUAUAUAUGUACAAUUUAUAUUCAAUAUUAAAAAUACCCGAGCAUGAUGUUCUACUGGUUAGAUAGCUUCAACAAGUGUCUCCCGCCCUUUUUCCAUUAUGGUGUGGGUUCGAACCCCCUCCUGCAGCGUUUUAGAGAUAGAGAUAGAGAUGUAUGACGAAGACAAGCCGUCAGAUAUUAUGUUAUGUCCGACGGCCCAAGGAAACCGUUGGACAUUAGUAUUACUUACGACUGGUGUCCUUGAGACCACGGAAAUAAGCAAGCACAGUCAGAUGUUUCUUUGUUUCAUGUUGUGCACGAUAGGUAAUAAAAAUUUAUCUGCCAUUGCUAACCAUGACGAAAGAAUGAGGCUCGGAGUCGAAAGAAAAGCACAAUUUUAUUUGCCUCGACGUUUUUUAUUGUAAGUUAUUGUAGUGGGAGUCCCUACAUUAUUUUUUGUAUCAAAGAAUGAGUAUCUAUAGGUUAUAUGUGGGAUCGAGAGAGAGAGAGGUUACAAUGUUUGGGAGUCCCUACGAACAGUUGAGCAUAGUAUCUCCCUCUUGAACAAUUCUUUACAGUUUUAUUAUAUAAUUGUUUCUGCAUUUCUAGAUACAUAAUUUUAUUUGCCUCGAUGUUUUUUAUUGUAAGUUAUUAUAGUGGGAGUUCCUACAUUAUUUUUUAUAUCAAAGAAUGAGUAACUAUAGGUUAUAUGUGGGAUCGAGAGAGAGAGGUUACAAUGUUUGUGUCUAUAGACUAACGGAGUGUUUUGUUAUAUAACAGUUGAGCAUAGUAUCUCCCUCUUGAACAAUUCUUUACAAUUUUUUACAAUUCUUUAUAGUUUUAUUAUAUAACUUUUUCUGCAUUUCUAGAUACAUAAUUUUAUUUGUCUCGACGUUGACAAGUACAAUAGAGAUUAGAUUAAAUUGAACAGUUCUACUACAGGGACAUAGGACCCUGUCAUGCUGGAGGUCAAGGAGUUGGUGCCCGCCAUUACUCUAAAGCUACGUACUAAGAAGAAGUCAAGUGCUUGCUUGAUCUAGCUAGUAAAACGUGUACGACACAUGUUGGUUUGGUGGAACUGACACAUAUUAUAUUCCACAAGACGAACAAGCAAAAAUGCUGUCACAUGUUGGUUCGGCUGAGAAACAGUAGCAUAGUGGUUGAAGGACGAACCUGCCUGGUGAGUUGAAGGAGCCUGCCCGGUGCACAACUCAAAAGAAAAGCCAUAGUUUUCUCUAUGUCGAUGUCGACAAGUAAAUAGAGAUUAGAUUAUAUUAAACUGGACGUGGUUCUACCACAGUAGCAUAGUGGUUGAUCGGCAUGGGAACCGUCUACGGGGGAGAACGCUAUUAUUGCCAUUGCCAUUAGAACAGGAGGUGGAGGAUCAACGUUGUUGCGUUGCGACGGAACAUAAAUAUUCAAUAAAAUUUUAAAACGCAGCAAUUUUCACUAGCGGUUUUAUUACCUCGACUGCCACUAAAAAUCGAUUUUUACUGGUGGUUUUCGUAGCUCGACCGCUAGUAGAAAUCGUUUCCACUGGCGGUUCUCAGUUACCGGUCGAUUGAUCACAUUCAGCUAGUGAGGUGGUACUACGUGGGAGAGCUACGCUACGUGGCUUCCUAUUAUGUUGGGCUUAGAGAUGGCAACGGGGACCCAAUCCUUGAUUCCCUGUGGGGAAUUCUUCUAUUAGGGGAAGGGGAUGGGGAAGUUUCUUCCCCCACGGGGAUGUAAACGGAGAAAAAUUCUUCCCCGACGGGUAAAUGGGGAUGGGAAUGGAGAAGUAUUCUCCAUCCCCGUUCCCCGCGGGACGCGUUAAACUUACACGUGACAACGUUUUCAUGUACUAGUUAAUGAUAAAAAUAAAUAAUUACUUUUAUCAAGAGAUCACUCAUUGUACAAAUGUGUUUAUUUUAAUGUACACGUAAUGAUUUAUUACAUCUGACAAUGUGUAGAAGUGACAAUGUUUUACAUUAAUAACAUAUGAAGUGAUGUCACUCAUUGUAGAAGUGACAAGGCGGCCUCCUACCCCUCCUUGUGGUCCCUCUCGGCCACCGGUUUAAGCUAAAAGGCAGCAAUGGGGAAGGUGUGUCAGAGCCAUGUGAGGCUGUGCAACAUAAGCUUGGUGCCGGAGGGGCUGACCUACGAACAUUAUUAUAGGUUGGACAGCGUGGUGGACGGGGCGGCGCUGGCACGACAUGCAUGGAGGGUCGUUGGCGACCAUGCGCAGCAUGGCCGGAGUUUGUUUGCAGCGUGGUGGCGGGUUGCGGCAUCCGACCAUCUGUUCCGGCAAGCCUUGGGGCAAGGGGCGUUUGGGGCAGGCUGCAUUAAUUGACACCUAGGCCAGUGCAUCGUUGGCGACGUCGAAAUCGGGUCGGGGCGCCUUCGACGGAGGUGGCGGUAUGGGGGCUAGGGUUCAAGGGGGAUCAUGGCUAGGGUUGCUGGGGGAUCGAGGCUAGGGUUACAGCCUGGCGGGUGGAUCGGGGCGCGAGAUCGGGUCCCGUUGUUUGCGGGGCUGGGACGGCGGGAUCAGGCACGGAUUCGGCGCUCGGGAUCGUUCAGAUGGUGGGUGAAUCGGAUGACUUUUAUUGCAUAACGGUACCACAGACGACUGAGUUGGUGUAACGGUAGAACGGUUUGGAGCAUCCUACUCCUUGCGGCCUUAAUAAGUAGUAGAGAUUAUACGACGGUAUGGUGGUGCACUUUCGCUUUAUUGACUUAUCUGGCUCUUCUUUUAGGGGGGAGGGGGAGGGGCGGGGGGCAGUUGACUCUUUCUAUAUACGUUGGUGAUUAGUGAGCACAAGAAUAGUUAGUCUGUUUGCUUCUUAGUUGGUCUCUUUCAACGUGCUCCUUAGUUGGUCUCUCUUUGCUUCUAGCACAACAUAUAAGUAAUUGUAUUCUUUCUUUUGUUGAUUUGUUUUUUAAUGACGAAUAAUAUGACUAUUACAGUGUUUGUGAUGGUUCAUUGCACAACCUAAUUAAGUUUUAUGCUACCAUACUUACAUAGAAAGAGUCAACUCACAAAAAUUAUAGAAAUAGUCAGUAACGCUUCUUCGUCUUGUGGAAUAUAUUUCUGUUAGCUCCACACCAAACGAACAUGUGUCGUACAAGUUUUACUAGAUCAAGCACUUGAUUGCUUCUUAAUACGUAGCUUUACACUAAAACGUGAAGGAAGGAUGGCUUAGCAUCAUAUAAAAUACAGAGCAGUUUUUCCCUUGUCGAUCUUUUUUGCUAGAUAUAUAUAUUUUACUAUCCGCCCUUCAGGCUAUCGCUAGCAGCUUCCUAUAUCACCUCUAUCUCACCUUAUUUUCAAACUGCACUAUGUAAACUGUACAUUCGAUCUACGAUACGAAGCAGUGCUUUGCACAGUCAUAUACACGCUCUGCUGAGCACGGCCAUAUCGAUCACUCGCUGUCACGACGCAUUUUUUUGCCGAUUGCUCGAUAUAAAGUACUCGACAAAGUGGCUGUAUAGUGGAAAUGCUGAUUUCCACUGACCCCGCGGUACUGAAAAACGCCAGUGUAAAUAGGUUUAGAACCGCCACUAUAGAGUUUCUGUGUACUAGUGUGUUGCCGAUAAACUGUUCACCGAGCCCUGUUUGCCGAGUAUUACACUCGAUAAAGCGUUUGACAUGUGCCAUCGAGGCUUUGACGAGUGCUCUAGGCACUCCGCAAAGAACACUAUUAUGGUAGUGGUUGUUACAGUUGGUUUGGUGUGAAACUAAAAGACGUAUAUAUUCCACAAUUUGCAAAAGCAAAAAAAGAAAAUGGUGAACAAGCUAGUAAACAUUGCAAACAUUAAUCUGAUAUAUAUGACUCGUCAAGUGAUCACGGAUGACGAAACGGAGAUUGUUGAAUAUAUAUGAGGUGCAAACAGUAAUUAAAGAUAUUAUGUGAGUACGUACAAGAAUAGAUCGUUCAAUGAACCAUUAUCACAGUCCAGCAACAGCAACAAAUUUGUCUUCUCAUGUGCGAGAUGGGGGUAGAAAUGGAUGUCCAAUCGUCCGUUUUUUAUGUAUCCAUCGACUAAUCCUCCAUUAUUUUGCAUUUUAUUAAACAAAUUUUAAAAUUUGGAUCACUAAGUGAUUACUAGAAAUCUUCAAUACGCAGUUCGCUGGAACCUAGCCACUCAAACACACAAAAAGAAAAGAAAGAACACACAAAAGGCAUCGUAGAUUUAAACCGCUGAAAUAAGAUAACUGUACUGUGUCGUCAUCAGCAGGUUCAGGCUGCUAGAGACUAUUUCUUCAGGUCGGCUGAUAGGUUCAACCAAAGACUUAUUCAGCUACUGAUACGUACACGUCACCACAUGCGCUCUGGCAGGCUAUAUAAACCUCACCGUCCCCAUGCCCAAAGCAUCAACAACCAUAGACACAAACACAACAAGCUAAUAAGAAGCUAGGUAGCUGAAUAUUCAGAGAGCACAAACACAAACGCGAGUGCAAAACCAAAUGGCUGCCUCGACCUACUUCCUUCUUGUUGCUUUUCUAGCAUUGGUCACUUCUCAUGCCAUUGCUUCUGAUCCUAGCCCGCUCCAAGACUUCUGUGUUGCCGACAAAGACUCUCCGGGUAUGCGUGCUCUCGUCUUGACUUAUGUUGUGUUCUUAUAAUAAAUACCUGAUUAAAUAAGGUUCAUUUAAUUUGUUCAAAUCACAUCUACAUACAAUAAGCAUUUCUAGGUAUGCAUGGCACAAUGGCCUAUUCUCCAUCUAAUUGCUUGCCUUCGUCUAUGCAUACAGUGAAGGUGAAUGGAUUUGUUUGCAAGGAUCCCAUGGCUGUGAACGCUGACGACUUCUUCAAGGCUGCAAAACUUGACCAGCCAAGGGACACCACCAGUAAGGUGGGAUCCAACGUUACUUUGAUCAAUGUCUUGCAGCUACCUGGACUCAACACGUUGGGCAUCUCGUUGGCUCGUAUUGACUAUGCGCCCUUAGGACAGAAUCCUCCACACACGCACCCACGUGCCACGGAGAUCCUCACCGUGCUUGAGGGGACACUCUACGUCGGAUUUGUCACCUCCAACCAAGCUGACAAAAGCAACAAGCUAUUUGCUAAGGUUCUCAACAAGGGCGAUGUGUUUGUAUUCCCCCAAGGACUAAUCCACUUCCAGUUCAACCCGGUCCCUGACAAGCCAGCAGUCGCGCUCGCUGCUCUAAGUAGCCAGAACCCUGGAGCUAUUACUAUUGCCAAUGCAGUCUUUGGAUCAAAGCCACCUAUCUCAAAUGAUGUACUAGCUAAGGCCUUUCAAGUGCAAAAGGGGACAAUUGAUUGGCUUCAAGCUCAGUUUUGGGAGAACAACCACAACUGAAAAAAUAAAUCAAGUUACGGUUCAUUGUAUGGGAAUAUAAUGUUUAUUUACAUUUUACAUACUACUCUAUGUAUUUGUUUUUUCUAGACUUUCAGCUGAUAAUAAAAUAAAUGGAUUGUAUUUAUGUACUAUAAUUGUAAUUGUGUCCCAACUGUGGUUCUACCACCAUCUCCUUAAUCGAAAGUGCAUGUAUUGUAUAUGGCACUCUCUCGUUUCCCAUUUUAUUGAGAUGGUUCAUAUAUUAAGCCUUCUCUACAACUGCCUACCGUUCAUAUUAUAAGCCAUCUCUAGAACGAUUGACAUAAUUACACCACUCCUAAAAUUCCACUAUUAUCAGGAAUGAUUAUCAUAAAAGAAUUGUCCUUAAAGAUCACAUUUCAUGGGUGGAUUCUUAUGCCAACCGUUCUUGAAAAAGAGAAGAUUUCUACUCAAAAGGUGCUAGCUAGAAUGGUCGAGGACCAAAAAAAAUUCAUAGAUUUUCAAAUAUAGUCAUUAAGUGACAAGCUUUAUAUCAAAUUUGUAAAGCCCAACAAAAUCUAAAACUUUAUAGGUAACAACUUUUUAUUUAAGACCAUUUACAGACCUAAAUAUAUGUUUUGUCUUCGAAGAGUUGAAAAUCUAGACUUUCAAAUUCCAUUUCUAGUGGCAGUGGGCUUCCAUUUUCCACCGUCAACACUUCUAUAAAAAACUCUUAUAUAAUUAUAUAGUGGUUUGAUAUUUUUAUACAUGGCAUACCAGUAAUAUAAAUUCAACGUUAUGCUUAAUUGGUCUCUUUGCUUCUAGCACACAACGUUGAUGUUGUUGGAUUGUGAUAGUUGCGUAAACAAGAAAAAUAUUUCAUUGGACUACCUAAUUAUGCUUUGCUACACAUACCGCUUUUAUUCCGAACAUCAUGGAGGGAGUGGUAGUCUUACAUGAGACUAUUCAUGAACUGCAUCGAAAGAAGCAAAAUGGUGUAAUUCUCAAGAUAGACUUUGAGAAGGCUUAUGAUAAAAUGAGGUGGAGUUUUGUUCAAUAAACUUUGCGGAUGAAAGGUUUCUUAGAUAAACGGUGCUCUUGGAUUAAUGCUUUCAUUAGGGGUGGUCAUGUGGCAAUCAAAACAAAUGAUCAGUUGGGACAGUUUUUCAAACGAAAAAGGGGCUACGACAAGGUGAUCCCUUAUCUCCUCUCUUGUUUAAUAUUGUAGUUGACAUGUUGGCUUAUUAACCAAUAGAGCGAAACAAGUGGGUCAAUUAUCCGGCUUGGUGCCACAUUUGGUGGAUGGUGGCUUGUCGAUUCUCCAAUAUGCGGAUGACACCAUUCUGUUUAGGGUUCACGAUUUCGAGAAAGCAGUGAAUACAAAAAUGCUUUUAUGUGCUUUUGAGCAGUUAUCAGGGCUCAAAAUUAAUUUCCACAAAAGUGAGGUUUAUUGCUUUGGAGAACCAAAAACUCAAGAACAUCAAUACGCACAGCUCUUUGGUUGUAGAAAAGGGGAUUACCCGUUUAGAUACUUAGGUUUACCAAUGCAUUAUAGAAAACUAAGUGUGGCAGAUUGGAAGAUAACCGAGAACGAAUUUGAAAAGAAAUUAUCCAGCUGGAAAGGGAAAUACAUGUUCGUGGGUGGAAGGCUAGUUCUUAUUAACUCUACCCUUACAAGCCUUGCGAUGUUUAUGAUGUCUUUUUUUGAGAUCCCAAGAGGUGUUUUGGAAAAAAUGGACUAUUACAGAUCGCGGGUUUUUUUGGCAAGGGGAGGAUAAUAAGAAAACGUAUAGACUAACCAAGUGGAGUAUCAUCUGUCAACCAAGGGAGGUGGGGGUUUAGGGGUGAAAAACAUUGAUACACAAAACAAAUGCCUCUUAAGCAAAUGGUUGUUUAAACUUCUGAAUGAGGAGGGUUUAUGGCAAACCAUGUUGUAGAGGAAAUACUUGCAACAACAUACAUCACAAGCUCAACGUAGACCCUCUGAUUCGCAUUUCUGGAAGGGGCUUCUAAAAGUUAGAGAUAACUUCCUAAACUUUGGAUCCUUUCAACUUAACAUUGGCACACAUAUUAGGUUUUGGGAGGACAAAUGGUUGAGGAUAGGCAUUCUAAAAGAAAUAUACCCGCAACUAUAUGCAUUGGUUCGACAAAAAAAUGUGGUGGUUGCUAAUAUCUUCCAAACCAUUCCGCUGAAUAUUUCUUUUCGUCGGGGUCUAGUGGGGCAGCUACGCGAACAAUGGAUGGAUUUAGUGGCUCAUCUUGUUCAUGUUCGAUUAAACAUAGCGAGUGACACGUUCCAUUGGGACUUGUCGACGGAUGGAUCCUUUAGUGUUCAUUCGAUGUACAAGGUGCUAAUAACUAAUGUCAAUGUGGCGUGGCACAAAGAAAUUUGGAAGGCUAAGAUUCCUUUGAAGAUUAAAAUCUUCAAGUGGUAUUUAUAUAGUGGUGUUGUACUUACCAAAGAUAAUUUACUCAAGCGUAAUUGGAAGGGAAAUGCAAAAUGUUCUUUUUGUACCCAGAAUGAGACAAUUGAUCAUCUUUUUUCCACAACCAACUUGCUAAAUUUAUUUGGUGUUUAGUUCGAAUCAUAUAUGGUGUUCGCCACCAAACAAUAUCAGACAUAUCUUUGGUUCUUGGUUAACUGGUCUAGAUAAUAGAAUGAGAAGUCACUUUAUUCUAGCAGCUUCGGCUAUAUGUUGGGCAAUCUGGUUGAGCAGGAAUGAUGCAGUGUUUGAUAUUGCUCCAAUAAAAUCUUCUUUGCAGGUGGUUUUUGGGGCUACGCAUUGGCUCCACUUCUGGACUCAACUACAACUUAGACAGGAUGAUCAAGAACUAAUAAUCAAGGAUGGCGUAGAUUGGAGGAGUUGAUGAUGCAGAUUUUUAGACAUCAUGGAUGGGGAUCCGCAUUUAGACUUUGUCUUUAGUCUCGUUUCGCCGCACUAUGUUUUGCUUUUCUCUGAGUUCUCAUAUAGUGAUAUUCCUAUAUGAGUCUGUCAUAUUCGGUUAUAGUCUCUUUGUGACAAAGGCCGGGAACUUUCAAUUCCCAUUAUCUAAAAAAUGUACAUAGAAAGAGUCAACUCACAAAAAUAUAGAAAUAGUCACCAAUGCUUGUUUGUCUUGUCUGUCAGCUCCACACCAAACCAACAUUUGUCGUACACAUUUUAAUAGAUCAAGCACUUGAUAGCUUCUUUCAAUUGUCAUAUUAAAAAUUUAGAUUGCUGCUAGGUCCAUAUUGUUUUUCUUGAACAAAUUUACUUUUAUUUUUGUCAUCUGAAGAAAUGUUCAAAAUAUAAAUUAUACAUCAUAAUGAGUUAUACAAAUUUGUAGUUGAAAACCUUUUCAUAUGAAUUAAUUUACUGCUUUAAAAUGUGAUUUUUAAAUUGUCUUUGUCGAGUGUUAAAAAACACUCGGCAAAGAGCUUCUUUGCCGAGUGUUUUCUUUUACCGAGAGUUUUUUGCUUGGCACUCGGAAAAAACACUCGGCAAAACAAUUGGCACUCGGCAAAAAGCAGAAUUCCGGUAGUGGCCUUUUAUAUUAUUUAGAUGGCCACGUUCAGUUGUUACUAUAGCUAAUUAUAGACGAAGGAAAUUCGGAUAUGAGACGCAGGUCAAUAGAAAUUAAUAAUUUUUCACCAGCUGUCCAAUAGAGUCCGAUGAAAACUAAGUGAUUUGGAGCUAUUUCAUAGCGGCAUUUCGUUCUUCCUUUCUCACGACUCUACUCUCCACACAUCUAGCUCCCCAUGCUCGCGUCGUUGCUCUAUGACACCUCGCACCCGUUUGCACCAACACCGACUUCUCUAUCUCGAGCAGUGUCCACCAUCGUUCUCGUAUGUGUCUAGAAAAGUGAGUUUAAUUUUUGUCGGCCACCCACGCACGCAAUUUGAAUUUAUUAAGCUCAUAAGUAUUGAUCAUUGCAUGGUUAAUUUAAUAUUAGUUUGGUCAACCUAGUUACAAUAUAAUAUUUGUUGGUUAGUUUUUUAUAAUUAGAUUUUACAUUUAUCUACUAGCAAUUUUUUGUGUUUAAAUAUAAUACGGUAUUAUCAAAUAAUUUAAUUUUUAAAAGCAUAUAAAAUAUCGAUAGGUUCAUAAAUUGUAUGUCAAUCGUUUCGAUCGGCAUACUUCAUAUGUGCCUCACAUGUGAGAUAUAUUGUUUUAGAAUCAUUUCUAUUUGGACAGUUUUAUGACAACUGACUAUAUGCUAUUUAUGGACAAUCUAGGUUUGCCGAGGGUGUGUAAAGGAACAUGGUGAAAAGAUAAUAAAAUUAUGCAUAAGCAACUUAAUAUUUUUAUAUAUGUCAUAUCAUCACUACUAGAAAAAUGGUCUUUAAUUUACAAACAACGAGGUGUGUUGUUACUAAAAAUGGCAAUGGAGCGUUGAUUCGUGAUUUUCCGAGGAGAAUUCCUUCAUUAGAGGAUGAGAAGUUUUUCCCCCACGGGAAUGUAAAUGGGGAAUAAUUCUCCCCGACGAGUAAACAGGGAUAGAGAUGGCCAGGGAAUUAUUUCACAUCCCGGUUUCCCUUGGGAGCGUUAAACUUGCACAUGGCAAUGAUGUCAUCUAACCGUUAAUAAUAAAAAUAAAUAAUUACCAUAUUAAGAGAUCACUUAUUAUACAAAUAUGUUCAUUUUGAUGUAUGCAUAACAAUUUCUUACAUCAGAUAAUGUGUCUAAGUAAAAGUGUUUUGUAUUAAUAACAAAGAACGUAUGUCCUAAUUAUAAUUUAAUCAGGGACGAGUACCCUGUGGGGGAUUUAUCCUGUGGGGAAUGAGGAUGGGUAAAAAAGAUAUCCCCUAUUGAGAAAAAAAUUGUCACGGAAACGGGAUAGAGAGCUAUUCUCCAACAAGAAAUUUUCCGUUGCCAUCGUUAAUUGUUUCGGUUGGUUUGUUGUGGAACUGAAAGAUGUAUUUAUUCCCCAAUUCACAAAAGCAAAAAAAUGGUCAAAAAGUAAACACUAGGAAAAAUAAUCUAAUCUGACUCGUCAAUUGGUCAUGGAUGAUGAUACGCAGAUUGUUGGAUAUAGUUACGACGCUAUAUGAGGUGCAAAAAGUAAUUAAAGAUAUUACUCUCUACGUACUUUUUUAAUUGCCGCGGUUUAGUUUAAAAAUUAACUAGCAAGCAACAAAUAUUCGAGAACGGAGGUAGUAUAUACGAAGGUGGUGUGCUUUAAUUUCUCGCUGUUGACUUCUUUUUUUGGGCUGGGUGGGGGGGGGGAGGGGUGACUCUUUCAAUAUAUGUUGGUGAGCACAAGAUUAGAGACAUGUUUGUUUCGCUGUCUAACUUACUACACAUUGUCAAACUUUUCUGUUUAAAAUUAGUUCUUCAAUUCGGACCACUAAUCUUAAGCAAAUAGACCCUAGAUGGUUCAAUAAACAUUUUUUCUUGUUUAGCCAACUAUCACAGUCCAGCAACGGCAACACGGUCUUCAACAAAAUUGAAAGGACAGAGUACACGAAAAGUAUGGUAGGUUUAAACGUUCAAUUAAGAUGCUGGGCAGGUUCUAGAUGCUGGAGACUACUUCAAGUCGCCUGAUUACUAGACAUUUUAAAAUUUGGUUCACGUACUAUGUGAUUACUAGAAAUCUUCAACACGUAUGCAUGGUUUAAACACUGAAAUAAGAUAACCUGUAUUGUGUCAUCAGCAGGUCCGGGCUGCUAGAGACUAUUUCUUCAGGUCGGCUGAUAUGUUCAACCAAAGACUUAUUCAGCCACUGAUAUGUACACGUCGCCACAUGCGCUGUGGCAGGCUAUAUAACCUCACCAUCUCCAUGCCCAAAGCAUCAACAACAUACACACAAGCAAAACAAAAAGCUAAGAAGCUCCGUAGCUAAAUUCAGAUAUUACAAACACAAAAAAGGAGUGCAGAACCAAAAUGGCUGCCUCGACCUUCCUUCUCAUUGCUUUUCUAGCAUUGAUCACUUCUCAGGCCAUUGCCUCUGAUCCUAGCCCGCUCCAAGACUUCUGUGUUGCCGAUAAAGACUCUCCGGGUAUGAGUGCUCUCCUUUUGACUCAAGCAGUGUUCUUAUAAUAUAUACCUGAUUAAAUAAGGAUCAUUUGUUCAAACACACAUCUACAUACAAUAAGCAUUUCGGGGUAUAUAUAUGCAUGUCCUAUUAACCUGUUCUCCAUCUAACUGUUUGUCUUCGUCUAUGCAUGCAUCCAGUGAAGGUGAAUGGAUUUGUUUGCAAGGACCCUAUGGCUGUGAACGCUGACGACUUCUUCAAGGCUGCAAAACUUGACCAGCCAAGGGACACCACCAAAAGCAAGGUGGGAUCCAACGUUACUCUAAUCAAUGUCAUGCAGCUGCCUGGACUCAACACGUUGGGGAUCUCGUUGGCUCGCAUUGACUACGCACCAUUAGGUCAGAAUCCUCCACACACACACCCACGUGCCACUGAGAUCCUCACUGUGCUUGAGGGGACACUCUACGUCGGAUUUGUCACCUCCAACCAAGCUGAUAGAAGCAACAGGCUAUUUGCCAAGGUUCUCAACAAGGGCGAUGUGUUUGUAUUCCCCCAAGGACUAAUCCACUUCCAGUUCAACCCAGUACAUGACAAGCCAGCAGUCGCGCUCGCUGCUCUAAGUAGCCAGAACCCUGGAGCUAUUACUAUUGCCAAUGCAGUCUUUGGAUCAAAGCCACCUAUCUCGGAUGAUGUCCUAGCUAAGGCCUUUCAAGUGCAAAAGGGGACAAUUGAUUGGCUUCAAGCUCAGUUCUAGGAGAACAACCACUACUGAAAAAAUCAAGUCUGAGUUCAACAUAUGAGAAUAAAGAAAUGUACUUGUAUUUUACAUACUACUCUAUGUGUUAACCUUUUUCUAGGUUGCGACUGAUAAUAAAAUAAAUGUUCAGUAUUUAUGUACUAUAAUUGCAAUUGUGUCCCUGUUGUGGCUCCACCACAGUGUCCUUAAUCAAAAAGCGAAUGUAAGGUAUACAACAGUCUAUCAUUUCCCAUUUUAUUGGAAUGAUACAUAUGGUAAUACAUCUCUACAAUUGUGUACAGUUCAUAUAGUAAGCAAUCUAGAACUGUCUUGUUGCUCCGUAGCUUUCGAACCACUCCUUGAAAUGUAUUUUAUAAGAGCGAAUGACAUAAUUAGACCACACUUGAAAUUCCAUCCAUUAUAAUUCAACCCACUACUGGACCUUGAAUUAAAUACCAAUUCUCAAGAGCAACUAUCACAAAAUGCGGUAGUACCACCAAUAAGGAGAGACCAAAUCAAAGAAGGUCUAAGAAUUUCAGCGGUAUCGUGGCAGCUAUGGCCUGUGGCAGAGCUGGUGGCCAGCGCCCAGUGUGCGGUGCAGCGGGCAGGCCGGAUGUGGCAUGGGGCACGUCGAUGCGAGCGACAGGCGGAUGUGAAGUAGCACGGGCAUGCAAACGCCUAGGGUUUGGGAUGGUCGCUUGAUCGGGUAUGUUUCUUUGGACUAUGGGAAUGAAUCUUCCACUACAUGCAUACAGUAACAGAAGUCAAGUAACAUAUUAGGUCACAUCCACAAUUCGACAAUAUAAGAUUAGUUAUAUUUACUUUACAAAUGCAACACAAAACUACAAACUCGUGAGAAAUCUAACAGUCCAAUUACAGUAGUUAAAGGCACUAUGCCAAAAUAACACAAAGUUAAAGAGACACCAAAUUAAAACACUUCACUACCAUAUGAGACUAGUGAUGCGGGUAAAAGUAACAAAUCACUAUUAGUCGGGGCUCAUGAUAAAAGAAAAUAAAUCAUUUUAUUGCUUAUAUCCCUUAUUUUUUCUAAAAUCUCCUUGUGUGAAAAAUAUGUUAAGAAUAUGAUUAUUGAAAUGGAUAAAACAUGAGUAAUGUAUAUAGGACCAUAAUAGAGAUUUUUUAGUUAUUGUAAAUUGUAAUCAAAGACGUGUUUUGCCGAAACUGAGAGCACCUAGAGGGGGGGUGAAUAGGUGAUCCUGUAAAAACUUGAAACUUAAUCCACAAAAAUUGAUUAGGAGUUAGCACAAUUAAGCCAAGUGGCUAGAGAGGAGAACUUGCACAACACGAUAACCACAAAGAGAUCAACACAGAGAUGGCACAGUGGUUUAUCCCGUGGUUCGGCCAAGUCCAACACUUGCCUACUCCACGUUGUGGCGUCCCAACGGACGAGGGUUGCAAUCAACCCCUUUCAAGCGGUCCAAAGACCCACUUGAAUACCAUGGUGUUUUGCUUUCACUUUACUAUAUCCCGCUUGCGAGGAAUCUCCACAACUUGGAGCCUCUCGCCCUUACACUUUGAUGUUCACAAAGAAGCACGGAGUAAGGAAGGGAUGAGCAACGCACACAAGACACGAAAUCAGAGCGACAACACGCACACAAGUCGCAACAAGAGCUCACAACACAACUCAGCGAGUUCACAACUCAAAUGGAGCUCUAAUUGCUAUCGCAAAGAAUCAAAUGUGCGGAAUCGAAGUCUUGGUGCUUAGGAAUGCUUAGAGAAUGCUUGGUGUGCUCCUCCAUGCGCCUAGGGGUCCCUUUUAUAGCCCUAAGGCAGCUAGGAGCCGUUGAGAGCAAACGUCAGUGAAAGAAACAGGUGGGCCCGGCUUUAAAAACCGCCAGUGGAAACCUAUUUCCACUGGCGGUUAUCUUAACACAACCGCCAGUGGAAAUAGGAUGUUUCCACUGGCGGUUGUGUUACACAAACCGCCAGUGAAAAUUGAUUUCCACUGGCGGUUAUCUUAAGAUAACCGCCAGUGGAAACAUCCUAUUUCCACUGGCGGUUUUUAAAGACAACCGCCAGUGGAAAUCAAUUUUCACUGGCGGUUUUUAAAGACAACCGCCAGUGAAGUGUCUGUUAUAAAUGCCCCUCUUCCCUCGACAGUGAACUGUAUGCUCGCAGCCAACUUCCAUUGGAGGCGAUUUUGGAGGUCCAGAAUUCACAAAAUACAUGGGGAGAGGUUUUGAUCUUCAUUUUUUGGAAGAAGAUUGCUAAGAAAGGUUGGUUUGUGUUGCUAAUGUCAAUUUUUAUUCAUUUUUGCUCAAUUUUAGCCACAUUUUGGAUCUAGGGUUUCACCAUUGGAGAGAGAGUGUAUCCUCUCUCAAUUUUAGCCACAUUUUAGCCACAUUUUUGCUCUAUUCGCUCAAAUAAAGUUGUUUAAUAUGGUUAGAUUUUGUCUAUCCUCUCUCCUUUUUCAUGUUUAGUUCUCAAAUCAGUUUAUCCAUGACAUAUUAAGUUGUUUAAUGAAUGGUUCAUGUGUUGUGUGGAGAGAGAAGAAGAUAGGUUUGGUAAUUAAGAUUGUUUUUAUUAGUUGCUAUGAAAGUUGGUUUAAUUAUGUUUUAAUUGCCAAUUAUUGUUCAUCUUUGCUCAAUUUUGGAACUAGGCCUUCACCAUGUGUUAAAGAGAAGAGUAUGGCUAGGAAAGUUUAGUUUUAUGUUCCUCUUGCCAAUUUUUGUUCAUUUUCCUUAAAUUUAGCCACAUUUUGGAUAUAGGGUUUCACCCCUUCAUCCUUCCCAACAGGUGGUGAUGGAGAGGACAUCCUGGAUGUAUAACUUAUCAAGGCUAGAUCCAUCAUACAUAUCCGAGGUCCAUAGGUUUAUUGAUGUCGCUACGAACCAUGCUUGGAGAACAAAGACAAAACACAUAUAUUGUCCAUGCAUGGACUGCAAAAAUGCUGCUGUAUUUAAUGACACAGAACAAAUCAUAUCUCAUCUGGUAUGCCGAGGAUUUAUGAAGGAUUACACAAUUUGGACAAAGCAUGGAGAGGGUAGCUCUUCGCCUUAUACGACUGGAAACCCUGAGAACAUCGACGACAGAUUUCAGUUCGUUCACGAGACACACCAACCUCUUCCACAGAGCGAACAUGUAGUGCAAAAUGUUACUGAUCAUGGUUACGCUCGAGGAAAUGAACAUGAUAGACCUCAUGUUCUGCCAAGUGUUAUGGAUGAGGAAGAUGCAGAGUUGCUAGAGGCAAUGUUGCGUCGUCAUACAGAUCAAUCGAUGUUCUUAAUGAAAGGUAUGGAGUCCCUGAAGAAGGCAGCAGAAGAGCCUUUGUACGACGAGUCUAAGGGUUGUACCAAAGAGUUCACGACGCUCCGGUCUGUGCUAAAGCUGUUGAUGUUAAAAGCUAAAUAUGGUGUGUCUGAUGCUGGCUUCGAUGCGUUCUUGAGUAUUAUCGCAGACAUGCUUCCAAAGGAGAACAAUGUGCCUGCUAACACGUACUAUGCAAAGAAACUAAUCAGUCCGCUCACUAUGGGUGUGGAGAAGAUCCACGCGUGUAGAAAUCACUGUAUCCUUUAUCGAGGUGAUGAUUAUAAAGACUUGGAGAGCUGCCCAAAGUGCGGUGCAAGUAGGUACAAGACGAAUAAAGACUAUCGAGAGGACGAAGAGUGUGUUGCAUCCGUGUCUAAAGGGAAGAAGCGAAAGAAAGCCCAAAAAAAGACUUCAAAAUCCACGAGCAAAGAAAAAGAAGUAGACUAUUAUGCGCUCAAAAAGAUUCCUGCUUUGGUGAUGUGGUACCUCCCCGUCGUCGAUCGAUUGAGGUGUUUGUUCGCUAAUCCUGAGGAUGCCAGACUUAUGAGCUGGCAUGCUUCUGAUGAGCACAAAAACGAUGGGAAGCUUCGACAUCCAGCCGAUGGGAAGCAGUGGCAAGAUUUCAAUGACAACCACCGAGACUUUGUCGAUGAACCGAGAAAUGUUAGGUUCGCACUGAGUACUGAUGGAAUGAACCCAUUUGCUGAGAGGAGCAGCAAGCAUAGCACAUGGCCGGUGAUCCUCACCAUAUACAACCUUCCUCCAUGGUUGAUGCAGAAACGGAAGUACAUUUUGCUAACCAUCCUUAUUUCUGGACCUACACAACCUGGAGUUGACAUGGAUGUAUUUUUGGAGCCCUUAAUGGAGGAUAUGAAAAUAUUGUGGGAAACAGGUGUUCAAAUGUUGGAUGAGUAUCGUAAAGGUUCAUUCACGCUGAGAGCAAUUCUUUUUGUUACGAUCAACGAUUACCCUGCUCUCUUCACAUUAUCAGGCCAGUUUAAGGGAAAGGUUGGUUGCACAGUAUGCAUUGAUGGAACUGCUUACGUAUCCCUUGCUGCAUCUAGGAAGAUAGUUUACAUGAGGCACAGACGCUUUUUAUUGGAAGGACACAGGUACCGCAUGCGAAAGAUGGAUAAGUACUUCGACAAUAAUGGUGAACUACAUUCUACUGCUCCAUCGGGUAACAAUAGAGGUCAUAGAGUUUUUGAAAUAGUCAGGAAUAUCAAGUUUGUUUUCGGGAAGAAGACAAAAGACGGAAAAACAAGGAAGGAUGUCAAACCAGCUUCGGGGGCUAUAUUCAAGAAGAAGUCUAUUUUCUUCGAGUACUUGCCUUACUGGAAAGAGUUAGAUGUGCGGCAUGCGAUCGAUGGUAUGCACGUUCAGAAGAACGUGUUUGAAAGCAUAAUGGGCACCUUGCUAGACAUAAAGGGCAAAACAAAAGAAGGGCUCAAUUCACGCAUGGACUUGGUAGAUUUAGGCAUAAAAAAGGAACUACAUCCCGUUCUUCAAGAAAAUGGGAAGUACCAUCUCCCAGCAGCAAGCUACAAUCUCAAUGUAGAUGAGAAACAUGCGAUGUGUGUUUGGCUCAAGAAUUUGAAAGUCCCAUCCGGAUUCUGCUCUAGCAUACGGAGUAUUGUGUCAAUGAAAGACCUGACAAUCACCAACUACAACUCACAUGAUUGCCAUGUUAUGCUGACUACAUUCCUACCUAUUGCCAUCUGGGCUAUAAAUCCUUUGUUUUUAAAGAUGGCAAUCACACGGUUGUGCUACUUUUUCAACAGGAUUUCACAAAAGGUAAUUGGUCGUGAUGAGUUGGCAUCUCUUCAGGAAUUCGCAGUGGAGACAAUAUCACAGUUUGAGAUGUGUUUCCCUCCAUCGUUCUUUGAUAUUAUGGUGCACCUUGUGGUGCACUUGGUGCCACAAAUAGAGGCAUUGGGUCCUAUGUACUUGCAUGAAAUGUGGACGUAUGAGCGUUUCAUGUCAAUACUGAAUGGCUAUGUAUCAACCCGUGCUCGUCCUGAGGCAUCCAUGAUAGAGUGGUACUGUACCGAAGAGGCCAUUGAGUCCGGAGGUCCAUUCUGCAAUAGUAUCCUAAAAGACCAGGUUGCAAUAGGUCUGCCUCCGUCACGACACGAGGGUAGACUGUAUGGAAGCGGGAGGAUGGGACGGAAAUCUUUCAUCCCACCGGAUUACGAUAUAGUACUUGAGGCACAUCAGAGCAUCCUACAUCAGCUAACGAUAAUGGAGCCAUUUAUCCAACAACACAUCAAUGAGCUUCGCGAGCAAAAUCCUGGGCAUACGGAUGAUUGGGUAAUGAAGCAACAUAAGCAGCGAUUCAACACAUGGCUAAUGGUGAAGGACAUUCCACGUGGAGAAACAAUAGAAGAACAAACCAUCAAGGGCUUGGCAUCUGGACCAUCACGCCAGGUCACAACAUGGCAAACCUAUGACAUUAGUGGAUUCACAUUUUGUACCAAGUCCAAGGACAAAAAGAGCAUGUCACAAAACAGUGGUGUUCGAUGCAAGGCCAUAGAUGAUGAAACUGGUGAGAUUAUUACAUAUUUUGGCUUUAUUGAGGACAUAUGGGAACUAGACUAUGGUACAUUUCAGAUCUCGGUUUUCCGAUGUCAAUGGGUUGAAGACAAACAUGUCACGGUAGACAACUAUGGGGUCAGAGUUCUUGAUCUAAGUAAGGUAGGUUACAAAGAUGACCCAUGGAUCCUUGCUAAUCGUGCUGCACAGGUCUUCUAUGCUGAACAGAUCAUUUCUAACAAUGAGAAGAAAAGCACCGACAAACCGAAGCAUGUAGUUUUUCCUGGAAAACAACAAGCUAUAGGAGUUGAUGGUGUAUCUGAUUUAGAGAACUUUAACCAGUUCAACGACAUGUCUCUUUUCAUAGACCAUCCAACCAAGAUAAGGAACGUUGAGCGAAGCAUCCCACGCAAUUCGUUGCCCUGGGUACGCCACGAUGGACAAGGCAGAACAAUAGCUUCCUAGAUUAUAUACUUGUCAUGUAAUUGAUUAUUGUUAGGAACUUGUCAUGUAAUUGAUUAUUGUUGUUAGCGACAAACCGAAGCAUGUAAUUGUCUUCAUUCAAUUUUCGUGGCUACCAUUUACAAUUUUACAUGACUUUCUAUUGACUUUAUAGAGAGAGAGGAGAGGGAGAGAGAGAGGAGAGAGAGGAGAGGGAGAGGAGAGAGAGGAUGGAGAGAGAGGAGAGAGAUAGGAUGGAGAGAGAGGAGAGAGAGAGGGGAUGGAGAGAGAGGAUGGAGAGGGAGAGGGGAGAGAGAGUGGAGAGGAGAUAGAGGAUGGAGAGGGAGAGGGAAGAGAGAGUGGAGAGGAGAGAGAGGAUGGAAAGAGAGGAGAGGAUGGAGAGGGAGAGGGGAGAGAGAGGGGAUGGAGAGAGAGGAUGGAGAGGGAGAGGAGAGAGAGAGGGAGAGGGGAGAGAGAGGGGAUGGAGAGAGGUAAAAGUAUACUAAACAAUAUAUAAAAGUAUACUUAAUAUAAUAUAUAAAAAGUGAAGUAAAACAAUAUAUAAAAAACUAUGUUAAAUAAUAAUAAAAAACAAUUUCUACUGGCGGUUGUCAUAGAGAACCGCCAGUAGAAAUGGUUUCCACAGACUGUAGAAGCCAUUUCUACUGGCGGUUCUCUAUGACAACCGCCAGUAGAAAUGGUUUCUACUGGCGGUUCUCGUUGUCAACCGCCAGUAGAAAUGGCUUCUACAGUCUGUGGAAGCCAUUUCUACUGGCGGUUCUCGUUGUCAACCGCCAGUAGAAAUGGCGCCUAUAUAAAGGUGGCGCGCGGGAGCCGAAAAUUUUACAAGUCCCUGGCGCCCUUUCACUUGAAGACGACGCCGUCAGGCUGCUGGAUUUCGACCCCGAGGGUUUUCGCCGGCGAUCGUCCCCGCGCCCGUCCCCACGCCGCCAUUCCCGCCCCCGCACCGCCGUCUCCAGGUUUUUUCUCUUUCCCCUAAUCUGUACCGCCGCCGUCUACUACCGCGCCGGGCCGCCGCCGCCGCCGCCGCGUUUUAGUAAACCCUAGGGCACGCGCCGCCGCCGAGAGGGAGGAAGAGAGAUGAAGGAGAGGGAGAGGGAAGAGAGAGGAGGGAGAGGGAGAGGGAGGAGAGAGGAGGGCGCACGCGCCGCCCGCCGCCGAGAGGGAGGAAGAGAGAGGAAGAGAGAGGGAGAGAGAUAGAGGGAGGGAGAGGAGGGUGAGAGAGAGAGAGGAGGGAGAGGAGAGAGAUAGAGAGAGGGAGAGAGAUAGAGGGAGAGGAGAGAGAUAGAGGGUUCAUACAAAUGUAUUCAAAUGUGUUCAAAUGUAUUCAAAUGUAGAGAGAGGGAGAGAGAUAGAGAGAGAGGGAGAGAGAUAGAGGGCUCAUACAAAUGUAUUCAAAUGUGUUCAAAUGUAUUCAAAUGUAGAGAGAGGGAGAGAGAUAGAGAGAGAGGGAGAGAGAUAGAGGGCUCAUACAAAUGUAUUCAAAUGUGUUCAAAUGUAUUCAAAUGUAGAGAGAGGGAGAGAGAUAGAGAGAGAGGGAGAGAGAUAGAGGGCUCAUACAAAAGAAGGGCUCAUACAAUACUUAUUUUUAUUCAUAUGUGUGUUAUAUAUGUGUUCAAAUGUAUGUGUUCAAUAUAUAUAUGUGUUCAUAUGUGUUCAAAUGUAUGUGUUCAAUAUAUAUGUGUGUUCAUAUGUGUUCAAAUGUAUGUGUUCAUAUGUGUUCAAAUGUAUGUUGAAUAUAUACAUUGUAAUUUUAUCCGUCACAACUCGAUAAUAUACGUAUCCGAUCCGAUCCGAAUUCGAUCUGAACUCGAUAAUUUCCGUACGACUCUCCCUCUCUCCCUCUCUAUACGUCCUAUGCGACUCUCCCUCUCUCCCUCUCCUCGUCCUAUACGACUCUCCCUCUCUCUAUACGUAACUCGAUAAUAUCCAUACGAUUCUCCGUCUCUCCCUCUUUAUACGUCCUAUGCGACUCUCUCCCCGUCCUACACGAUACUAUACGACUAUACGAUACUAUAUGGUUAGGGUUUAGGGUUAUGGUUAGGGUUAAGGUUAGGGUUAAGGGUUAUAGUUAGGGUUAGGGUUAAGGGUUAGGGUUAGGGUUAGGGUUAGGGUUAGGGUUAGGGUUAGGGUUAAGGGUUCGAGUUUUGGGUUAAGGGUUCGAGUUUUGGGUUAGGGUUAGGGUUAAGGGUUAGGGUUAGGGUUAGGGUUUUGGGUUAGGGUUAGGGUUAGGGUUAAGGGUUUAGUGCCCGCGAGGAUGUAUUUAAUUAUACUAUUUGUUAAUAUGAAUUUAAUUAUUGCUUAUGUAUUUGUAUAUAUAUAGCUCAAUGAGUUCUCCGAUCAAGGACCAAGGAUUAGUGCCCGAGCACAUGGACAAGAGUGUUGCUCAAGAACAAUCCAGCAGUGAAGGAUAUGAAACGCCUAGCGACCCUUUUCCUACCACUAGCAUAGAUAGGGCCGCUCUCCGUGAGUUGCAACGUGACCCUACUUAUGAUCCACGAGAAGCUGAGGUAAAAGUACACAUCUUUAGCUUCGUAUGUGUACCCUACUGAUUUCACAUGCAUGAUCUCUUGUGCAUUUUAUUACAUGAAUAGGAGGUCGUGUCUGAAUUUCGUGCGAUACUCGAAGAAGCCGUGGCACGAUACGAAGACGUACCGGAGCCGACCCAAGACGCACCGGAACAGACCAAGACAACAACCGAGACAUCAAGGAAAAGGAAGCAGAGCGAUCGAAAAAGAGGUGACAGGGGGCUGAACAAAUUUCCCGACAAAACAUACAAAAUCUCAGACGUGAGCCCGAAAGGUCAGCCCCUGGCUCCAGAAGAGGCACUACCUAAGUUUCGGAAUGCACUUGGGUUUUUAGUUAGAGAUAAUCUUGACAUAACAAUACGACAGUGGAGAGAUGUGUCAGAUGAUGUCAAGAAUCAAAUAUGGAAUAAGCUAUUAAUGAGGUUCGUUCUGCCUCGGGGUUCAGAAGAACUCGUGAAGGAAUACACGAUGAAGCAGCUUGCAAUAAAUUUCCGAAACUGGAGGUCUGAGAUGAACACAAAGUUUGCAAAGAAAGGUCUGGACCCGACCAAAAAAUAUAAAAUCUCAGCAGGUCAGUGGGCAGUAUUUCUAGAGCAGAGGAGCAGCCCUGAUUUCAUAUCUCUAAGUGAGGCAAAUUCAGAACUAUCAAAGAAGAACAAGUACCGCCACCACCUAGGCACAGGUGGUUACAAGCGUCAGGUUCCUAAAUGGACACAAGAAGACGCCGAGAAGAAGGCUGCAGGGUUGCCGACGCUGUCCGAGCAACUUGGUGAAAGGGCGGCAAAUUGGCUCCGUGCUAGAAAACCAAGGGAAACCGAGACCGGUGUAUCUUUUGAUGAUCCCAUUGUCGAAGAAGCGGCAAAAAACAUAUAUACAAUGGCAGCUAAGCAGAGCGAAGGAACUUUUAAGCCACAAAGGGAAAGAGACAUCCUAACGGCUGGUCUCGGUAACCCUGAGCAUCCUGGUCGUGUACGAGGAAUCUCGUCUAAGGAAGGAUGGAAGGAAGGAUUCGGACCACAGUGGGAAGGUCUGUACAAGAAACGUGAUCGAUACAAGGAAGAGAUCGCGGAUUAUUUUAAGGAGGAGGCCAAGAAAGAGUUCAAAGCCAUGAUGUCUCAAAUGCUAUCGAAUCCUCCUCCAGAAUUGAUGCAACAGUUGGCGAGUGCGAUGUCUGUUCAAUAGAUGACCACUCCACAGAUACAAAUAAUUCCAGCAGCUCAACCGCCGGCUUCCACAGAUUGUACGACAUUACCAAGCUCUGUUGCUUCAACGGGAAAUAAGGACCGUUAUCCAGUUGAUGACAUCACAAGGCCUGUGGCGUGCACACUGGUUAUAAGAUAUGGUAUUAACAAUAAACGUACAAAGAUAGUAGCCACAGGCCUUGCGAUCCCAGGACGCAAGUUCCAUGGAAACGAUAUUCCAGAUGAUUAUUGCAAAGUAGAAGUGACGACGGUCGUCCAAGGAUACGAGGACGACAUGCUAGACAUCCCUGGGCCCGAAGGUAUCGAGAAACUUGGACAAGCUAUCAAGAAUUUUAUCCUUUGGCCUCGAAGGGAUGUCGAAUUGCUUGAUUGGUCGAAUUCGUCGCAGGCGUCGCAGGCCCAACCGUCUCCGCCUUCUCAAAUUGCUGUUCCUAUUGUACAUCCAUCCUCACCUCCUCAAACUUCACAUGCUGCUCCUCAUCCUUUUUCUGACCCACCGUCUCCGCCACAAGCAUCACCAUUCAGGGCUCCACCACCUUCUCCUCCCCAUCCUCUUGGUGACCCACUGUCUACGCCACCAUCAAGGGAUCCACCUUCUCCACAGCCAUCAAACGAUCCACGGCCAUCAAAGAAAUCUAAACUUCCUAUACCAAAAUUGGUGUCCCCGUAUCAGAAAAAGAAGAGUAAAGCUACUACUGCUGGCACAGUUAGGUUUUUGAAAGGGAUUGGACGGAGCCUCACGUCACAAACUGUUGAUUUGGCCGAGCACGAGGAGUCUGCAAAAAAGGCUGAGGCAACGGCCACAAAGAUAAAGAAGCCAACUAAGGCAGAUUACAAAAACGUGCCUAAAAAAUAUGUGUCGGGCAGACCUCUACUACCUCUUGACAAACUAAGAAAGGUCCCGGCUGGUGUUAAAAGGUUGCAUGACUGGUACAUGCGGGCAUCAUCGGUUGGCAUCGACACCAUCAGUGUGCAUAUACCAGACCAUGCUUUUAUUGGUUCGAACCAAAAGGCCGUUGUUACAUUCGAGGACAUGUGGUUAAUGAUGAACCUUCAGAGACUCGACGUGCAACUUGUAACGAUGUUUGCAUUGUAAGUGUCGCUCAUACUUCCACAUAUGUGUGUUAUUAUUAGUGAGCUGUAUAAAAUUUCAAUAUCUGACAUGCACGUGUGACUUGCAGAAUGCAACAUGAUCAGCAGGAGAUUCUUUACGGUACCAAGCCCAAUGCUAGUGCCAGUAAAAGGGUUGGGUAUCUCAACCUAAUACUUAUAUCCGAGGAAAGCCACACUUUUAGAAUCGGGAAAGACAACGAUGAAAUACAGGGAAAGACGGACGAAGAAGUUGAGAAGCGUAUAAAGGAAAUGAAGAAGGAUUUUGAAGCUCGAUACGCCACAUACAUAGGACAUGCAAUGCUUCAAUUUCAAGACAGGGAAGCCAUAAUGGCCCCGUACAACUUUAAGUAAGUGUGAUUUUGCAUAAAUAAAAUUAAUAAUUUCAAUACACAUGCAUCACAAAUUUGAUUCGUACAGGGACCACUGGAUAUGCUUCCUCAUUUAUCCUAAGGUUGGAAAGGUGCUGGUGCUCGACUCCUUGAACUUCGACCCUUCGACAUAUGCAACAUUCCUCAGCAUCUUAGAGCUGUAAGCCUUUUCUAUGCAUGCAUACUUUUAUCGAUUAAAAUUUGAGAAUAACAUGGUGAUUCUAUUUGAGAUCACAGUGCUUAUAGAUUCUAUAAGAUGAGAGGUGGAAAGUACGACCUGUCGAAAAAACAAGUGCCACUAGACAUCCAUCAUCACUGGCCGGUAAGUAUGUGAUUUUAUGAAUACAUAUCAUACACAAUGUUGCAACUAAAUAACCAAUCUCCUGUUAUGUAGUGCCACAAGCAACCACAAGGAUCGGUCCUAUGUGGAUUCUAUGCGUGCGAGUUCAUGAGAGUGAACGGACGAUACAUCACGAACCCUGACAAGGUAUUAUUAGUAAUAGUUAAGUAUGUAUUUAUGUCAUUAAAGAUGCAAAUGUGUUAUUAUUGAGUAUAAAUAGAUGAUGUUUAUAAAAUUCCUUUACAGCAAUUUCAACGAGGAAACCCGGAGAACUUGACCGAAGCUGCAUUGUAUGGCAUAGUCGAGGACCUCUGCACAUUCAUAUUGAAAGAGGUCAUUCCCGCAGAAGGAAAAUAUCACGAUGCUUCCGGAACAUUAGCUUUGCCAGAGUUUAGAAUACUAACAGAAAUUAGUAGAUUAUCUCUUAGCCGAGAUAGUUAUUAGAGCUUAGGUGAAAACUUAUGAUGUAUAGAAUGCAUGAAGGAUAUAUGGUUGUAAACAGAAUACUUUCAUGUCGUAGAAUGCAUGAAAACUUAAGAUGUAUAGAAUUUAAUUUCAUGUUGCUUUCAAUAUCAAUAUAGAUCUAUAUAUAUAUAUAUAUAUAUAUGUUUGUGUGUGUGUGUAAAUAAAUAUAUAUAUAAUUCAGUAUUGUUUGAAAUUUUGAAAAAAGGCGGGAAAGUUCCACUGGCGGCUGAAUAAAGAAAACCGCCAGUGAAAAGUGCAUUUCCACUGGCGGUUUGCUUUAUAAAACCGCCAGUGGAAAUGCAUUUUCACUGGCGGUUUUCUUUAUUCAGCCGCCAGUGGAAAUGAACUUUUCACUGGCGGUUCCUUAAGAAAACCGCCAGUGAAAAUGCACUUUUCACUGGCGGUUCCAAAAUAACCGCCAGUGGAAAUGCUGAUUUCCACUGACCCCUAGCACUGGCGGUACUGAAAAACGCCAGUGUAAAUAUGUUUAGAACCGCCACUAUAGAGCUUCUGUGUACUAGUGAAAAUGGCUGCCUCGACCUUAUUUCUCAUUGCUUUUCUUGCAUUGGUCACUUCUCAUGCCAUUGCCUCUGAUCCUAGCCUGCUCCAAGACUUCUGUGUUGCGGACAAAGACUCUCCGGGUAUAAGUGCUCUCCUCUUGACUCAAGCAAUGUUCUUAUAAUAUAUACCUGAUUAAAUAAGGAUCAUUUGUUCAAACACACAUCUACGUACAAUAAGCAUUUCAGGGUAUAUAUGCAUGUCCUAUUAACCUGUUCUCCAUCUAAUUGUUUGCCC
rnacentral:lncRNA from 1 species